rnacentral:lncRNA from 1 species
GUGACUUUGACCUCAUUUGCCUUUGACCUUUAAAAGCACAGAAAACGAUCACUGGACUACUGAGGUAGACUGAACCUGAGUCACAAAACAACAUAGAAGCUUGCAAAGUAAAAUGGCUCUUCUGUAAUGAUAUCAACAUGCAACACUCUCCAUAUGGAGGUCAAAGAGCUGCAUAAGAGGAGAUGCAACCUUGACUGUGAUAAAGCACAGAGCUGCCAUCAAUAUACGGUUACUUCCACAGAAUCAAACUUUGAUCAAGAUGGUUCCAGACACAAGAAGCAGAGAGGAAAAUACAGCUGAAAUAUUACAAAGAGGAGCAAAUGUUGCCUGUAAAAAAUGAGUGUGGGGAUGAUGAUGAAUCAUAAUUGUACAUUUCAAUUUAACAUCUUCAUCUACUUUGCUUUUAUUUGGCUUCAUUAUUCCUUUGCUUGUUGGUUGUAACAAAAGAGUGUAACCAGAGGCAUUGUAAAGCAGAGACCGACCAAUGGUGUGACAUGAAUAGGAGAAAUCAUAACUCCUAAUAAAGUGGCUGUAUCAAGAAUGUCCUGCACGUUUCAUUAUAUUUUAGAUUGCUGAUUUUGCAUACUGUAUAUUAUUGACACAAAAUCCUGACUAACAGUUUUGAGGUUUUGGUCUAUCCCCAUUAUGUUUUGUUUUGUAUGCCUAUGCAUAGUGAACUGACUUGCCUUAAAUGGACUUAUGUCUAAACUAAAAAAGAAAGUAUAAGUAGUACACAACCCUCAAAAUUCCUGAAAAAAAAUGGCUUUGCCCACAUCUAAGUCAGUCUGGCUGUUUUGAUGUGUUUUAAUAAUAGCCUAGACAGUUAAAGUUAUGUAUUCAAUACUGUAUCCAAACAAAGAAACUACACUAACAAACAUAUUCACACUCUCACACAUACAUACUGUUAGAAACAGAGAAUUAAGCUGUUGAAAGGAGUCAGGAGUCAAACCAUCAUCGCUGUUUUACAACGGGGUCUACAGCUUAUUCUAAACCAAUGUUUCGUUAAGUUAAAUGUAUGAUACUUGCAUUGCCUUGGCUGUUGAACGAGCGUCUGGAUACAGUCUCAGAUGAAAGUCUUGAUGUUUUCGGUGCUGUUGGAAUUGCAAUCGCAUCUUGAAGAGUGAUGAACUCUAAAGAUGUUAUUCUGACUCAGUGGUGGUCGGGAGAUUUCUAUUUCGGGUGAAAGUUUGCAACAUGGCUUGCUGUGACUUUGAGGUCCUGCCGGUGCGGGGGAAGCCCUGCGGGUCACGGUUGGACUGGAUGUCCAAGAGGCAAUGGUAAGAGCGCAGAAGAAGAGAGAAGAGAGAGAGAGAGCUGAUGUAGUGAGGCCUUUUAACUUCUGUGGAGGUCACAACUCCAGGGGGUCAGUGAGCUUAAACUUUAAGAGGGAAAGUUUACAAAACUUUGUCUUCGGGCAGUGUGUUUUGCAUAUGUAACUGGAUUGGGUGUUGAUGCAAAAACUAUUAAAGAUUCUUAGAAUACAUAUAAUAUAAUAUAAUACACACUCUCAUUCAGAUCAUCAAAAUAUGAAUUUGUAGAUACCAAACAUGGUAUAUGUAAGGUUACAUUAACCAGUGGUUCUAUCAUAAAGCAUGCAUAAAACAAUAUACAAUACAAAAGACGAUAUACAAGAACAGUAUUGUAUAUUGAACAGUAUUAUAUACUGUAUAUGACCUGGAGAUACGCAUGUUCAUUCAUAGAAAGGCUUUGCUAUGAAUUAAUGAAAGAAGUCUUCAUACUGAUAGUCAAAAGCCACUAAACCAAAGAAUCACACAGAAACACACACACAUAUGCAUAGAGUCAGUGUUGGGAGUCAGGGGGCGGCAGUGGAACAGGAUGUUCUGAUGGUAAUUUCAGCUCUGCUUAUGUCCUGUUAAUCUCUCAUAUUACACACUGAAGCGCAGCGGUCCUGCAAACCCUCAAAAUAUAGAGAUCUGCGUGUGUGUGUGUGUGUUUCCAAAGCCAACAGAACCAGUGCAAGCCUGC